CUCGUAGUUGGAUUUCUGUGGGGGCGGAGCGGCCGGCCGCAACUUGCGGUUCGAGCUAGCGCUUCCCCUACAUCCUGCCGCGAACCGUGCUACCAUUAGUUUGGUGGCGCCGGGGAUCGGCUCGUUUACUUUGAGAAAAAUAGAGUGUUCAAAGCAGGCCACACGCCUUGAAUAAGUUAGCAUGGAAUAAUAAUAAAGGACUUCGGUUCUAUUUUGUUGGUGUUCGGGACUGAAGUAAUGAUUGAUAGGGACAGUUGGGGCGGUCAGUAUUCCAAAGCGAGAGGUGAAAUUCUUAGACCUUCGGAAGACUAACAGCUGCGAAAGCGUUCCGCAAGGAUGUUCCCUUUGAUCAAGAACGAAAGUUGGGGGAUCGAAGACGAUCAGAUACCGUCGUAGUCUCAACUAUAAACUAUACCAGCUAGGGAUCGGCCAACGUUAAAUUAUUCGACUUGGUCGGCACCUUAUGAGAAAUCAAAGCAUCUGGGUUCCGGGGGGAGUAUGGUCGCAAGGCUGAAACUUAAAGGAAUUGACGGAAGAGCACCACCAGCCGUGGAGCCUGUGGCUUAAUUUGACUCAACACGGGAAAACUUACCAGGUCCAGACACAGUAAGGAUUGACAGAUUGAUAGCCCUUUCUUGAUUCUGUGGGUGGUGGUGCAUGGCCGUUCUUAGUUGGUGGAGUGAUUUGUCUGGUUAAUUCCGUUAACGAACGAGACCCCAGCCUGCUAAAUAGCGCGGUUGAGCUUUGCUCGGCGCGAGCUUCUUAGAGGGACUAUGAUGCGCGAUAGCACAUGGAAGUUUGGGGCAAUAACAGGUCUGUGAUGCCCUUAGAUGUUCUGGGCCGCACACGGGCUACACUGGCGCCUGCAACGAGCAUAUCAGCUGGCCCGAGAGGGUCUUGGCUAAUCUUUUGAACCGGCGCCGUGCUUGGGAUUGACCAUUGCAAUUGUUGGUCAUGCAACGAGGAAUGCCUUGUAAACGCGAGUCAUCAACUCGCAUUGAAUACGUCCCUGCCCUUUGUACACACCGCCCGUCGCUCUACCGAUGAAUG
rnacentral:rRNA from 1 species